CAGUAGCCGCGGGAAUACGAGGGGGGCAAGCGCUGUUCGGAAUUAUUGGGCGUAAAGGGCGCGUAGGCGGUUUGACAAGUCUGAUGUGAAAUCUCUGGGCUCAACCCAGAGUCUGCAUCGGAAACUGUCGAGCUUGAGUAUGGGAGAGGUGAGUGGAAUUUCCGGUGUAGCGGUGAAAUGCGUAGAUAUCGGAAGGAACACCUGUGGCGAAAGCGGCUCACUGGACCAUUACUGACGCUGAGGCGCGAAAGCUAGGGGAGCAAACAGGAUUAGAUACCCCUGUAGUCCCUGUCUCUUAUAC
rnacentral:rRNA from 1 species